GUGUAGGUGAACAGAGACUUAAACUACAAUUAGUGUUUUGCUGAACAACUGCUGAGUUCAAUCAAAAAGGAAAAGGAAUGACUGAAAUAAAUGGCUGCUACCCAAACUGAAGAGAACUGUGCCAGAAAAUACUAAAUCAGGAAUAGACGGCUUCUACAGCACUCAUAUCCAUGAUUCUGCCUAAGAGAACUGUCUUAAUUGGAGAUUUGGAUUAUGAGGAAAUCUGAGCUUCACUUUAUGGAUUCACCCCAUUCUCAGCUGGUGGAGUGCUCCUCAUGAA